rnacentral:rRNA from 1 species
GAGUUUGAUCGUGGCUCAAGAUGAACGCUGGCGGCGUGCCUAAUACAUGCAAGUCGAGCGAACGGACGAGAAGCUUGCUUCUCUGAUGUUAGCGGCGGACGGGUGAGUAACACGUGGAUAACCUACCUAUAAGACUGGGAUAACUUCGGGAAACCGGAGCUAAUACCGGAUGAUAUUUUGUAACCGCAUGGUUCAAAAGUGAAAGACGGUCUCGCUGUCACUUAUAGAUGGAUCCGCGCUGCAUUAGCUAGUUGGUAAGGUAACGGCUUACCAAGGCAACGAUGCAUAGCCGACCUGAGAGGGUGAUCGGCCACACUGGAACUGAGACACGGUCCAGACUCCUACGGGAGGCAGCAGUAGGGAAUCUUCCGCAAUGGGCGAAAGCCUGACGGA